rnacentral:rRNA from 1 species
GACGAACGCUGGCGGCGUGCUUAACACAUGCAAGUCGAACGGAAAGGCCUGCUUUUGUGGGGUGCUCGAGUGGCGAACGGGUGAGUAACACGUGAGUAACCUGCCCUUGACUUUGGGAUAACUUCAGGAAACUGGGGCUAAUACCGGAUAGGAGCUCCUGCUGCAUGGUGGGGGUUGGAAAGUUUCGGCGGUUGGGGAUGGACUCGCGGCUUAUCAGCUUGUUGGUGGGGUAGUGGCUUACCAAGGCUUUGACGGGUAGCCGGCCUGAGAGGGUGACCGGCCACAUUGGGACUGAGAUACGGCCCAGACGCCUACGGGAGGCAGCAGUGGGGAAUAUUGCACAAUGGGCGGAAGCCUGAUGCAGCAACGCCGCGUGCGGGAUGACGGCCUCGGGUUGUAAACCGCUUUCGCCUGUGACGAAGCGUGAGUGACGGUAAUGGGUAAAGAAGCACCGGCUAACUACGUG